UUGGGAGUGUUACUACAACAACAAUGUCCCUCAUAAAACGAUCCAGCAACUCCAGUUUGAGCCCUGGUUUAAUCAUACCAUGUAAACAAUGAUGAUGAAGUUCAAGUGAAGCAUUAGGUCCCUGCGAUUGCUGAGUCAUCUGGAAAAAGCAGCGCUCUCGCAUUCUUUAUUCUUGGGUAAUGCAGCAUAAGAGGACUUCCAUUUUUAGCUUUACGGCAAAUUACAUUAAGCCUCAGUUCAGUGAGCCCUAAUGCUUUGAAAGUAACAAAAAUCGACGGAGAGGGAUAAAAGUUUUUUGAUAUUGCUCAGACUUUCUCCCGGAAAGGCCUCCUUUAUACCUCCUCCCUGCCGCUGAGCGGGAAAAGAAUGGGUUAAACCUGUCUGCGGCCCACAUCUGGGAAUCAUUUGAAACAUUCCACAAGGCUUACCACAUGUUUUCAGAUGGACUAAAUCCUGCGAAAGGCUCGGCUGUCAGAGGUGAGAUUAGGUAAGGAUGUUGGUGGGUUUGCAGGGCGGUCCCUGUGUGUGGCAGCGGCGAUGGUGGUGGUAAUGUGCGUGGAAAUGUGUGUUUCUAUGUCCUCUUGCAUGUUGGUGGCAUGUUAUUCGAAUGUGUUCUGAGUGAAUGCUGUUUGCAGUUCAAAGGAGGCUUUGGGACUUGGCUAACUGUUUCCAUGCGGCUGAUACAAUCUCAUCUGCCCCCUCUUUCUUCCCCUUGCUCAUUUCUUCUUUAUACUUCACAACCUAGCACCAUAAAGUGAAUCAGUGUGAAAGCUAUGUAGCUUUUCAGCACUCCUAUCCGGACACACUUACAGACUCGGGUAGCUACUUUUCAGCAUUCAAAUGGUGUGACAUCUUAUUGUGAUGUAUCCAGAAAAGCUAUUUUAUUAAGCAAGAUCAUGUAGCCUUCAGUCUUGCCAUGAAGACCUCUCCAUGGAGGCUGCUUGACGGUUUCACGAUUACACUCCACUACAGAUGACAAGCUAAUAAAGGGGAGUCGCAGAGUGAUGAAUGGUUGGCUGCUGGGAGUUCCAAAUAAAUAUGCGGUUUUAAGAAGGCAGCAGCAGACUUGAUGAAUUAAAAGUCAAGGGACUCUGUGGAUGGGGAUUGACCACCAAGCCUUGGCACCUUCACGGUUCUCUCUCUUACACCAGUCCUCAGAUCCUCUCCAAAUGCAUACCCAAGAAAGGCUGGUAGACUGCUGGCCUUUCUGACGUCAGGUGAAUGGGCUCUCAUGUUGCCCUGGUGUGUUAGACGCCGCCUCUGUAAUUGUCAACUGACAUUUGGGGAACUGGAAAUGUUUCUCUUGGGUGUGGGUGACACUGUAUGCAGAGGAGGGGCCCCCUGCCUCUCUGUCACCCACUCUUUUUUUCUGUGAACCAGACCGUGACAUGUGGUAUGUGGACCCAUGCUGGGGGUGAAAGCAUUGAUCAGGCUGGCUAAUGUUACCACACUUUGGAAAUAGCACUGGACUUUCACACUAGACAGUAAAUAGGCACCCGACGUUUAGAGGCGGAAACUGAGCACCUGCCAUGGGGCCCACCAGGUGCCUUGUAAAAUGAAACAUGAGAGAGACACUCACUCUACAGUCCUGUAACAAUGACCAUCUACAGGGACUAUUUCAUGUUAUGGUUUUGAUAGGAGGGGAUCACAGGAUUAAGGCAGCUCUGUGAGACCACUGAGAACACUGGAUCUUAAAGCAUCUCAGAUUUUGUCUGUAUUAAGUAAAGCAGUCGUUACAAAUCUUUUUUGUUCUGGUGACAAACAAAAUGUAACAUGCUAAUUUAUUAUUCAGAUUGUUAGCUUUAGCGGUUUCUAGCAGGUGGAUUUCGCUGUUGUUGGAUAAAACCAGACUAGCAAAGAAAAUAACUAGCUCUAGCUUCAUAUUUAGUAGUCUAUUCAUCUAGUUCUAUGCAAGACAGUGUAUAAGCUAUUCAUCCAAAAUGUCAACCUAUUCCUUUAAAAUAAAGCAAUGUCUACUGAUGACCCAUCAUUACUGGUUUGCUUAUGGUUGCGGACUGUGACCAGUUCAACCAGACAUUUUUUCCCCCCUUACUUUAUUUGAUAAAUUACUUGCAGAGGACUAAAUUGGUAAAACGACCCAACUAUCCAAACAAAAAACUAACAUUAGAGGACAUUAGUUUUGUUUGUUUAUAUUUACAUUGUCUGACUCAUUCAGGGAUUCAGACCCUCAGGUUGGGAACCACUGACGUAAUGGAUAUAGCUCUCCCAAUUUAAAAAUAAUUUAGUCAGUGGUAAAUGUUCUAGUGGCCAAAAGCACAGACAGACAUUCUGUAUGCAUACUCUACUUAAUCCUUCAUAUCAAUGUCAGGCUUGUCUGUCACUUCCAGUCUCUCCUUGAAAGUCUUGAAAAUGGAGAAGGCAACUCUUCGAAGCAUGUCCAAACUCUGAUUUUCUAUCUCUGUACAGUAGCUAGACACCAAGCUAAUGCAUGUGCUUUACAAGCCACUGUGUCAAGCCUGACAUUGUGAAGGUUUGCUUGCAUGCAGUGAGGCUAUGUAAAGCUUUAAAUGGAACAUGCAUCACAUGGCUUUUCACUAUGUUUGACAUGUCAGUACAUAAGCUGUGCAGAGCAUGCUGCAAUUCAGUCUAUAUCUACAUCUCAGAGUAGAGGGGACUAGACUGGAAAGCCAUUAAGAUUCAACUCCAGUAACUUCCAGUGUAAACCUGGCUACAAGUGGAGGAUGCAGCUGGGCUAAGGAGACCCCAGAGGCCUUACUAUCCAACCUAGAGAUAUGUAGAGGAAACACAACACAACACAAUACAAAUCCCCACACUGCAGUUGAGUGAACGAGGGCGAACCCAUCCAGUUUGCAUGAACACAUUCUAUACACAUGCAUGCUGGGCCCCAGCUCCAGCUGUCAGAAGGCUGUGAAAUAAGACAGUUUCAUCUCUUCAACCAUGCUGCUAUGACAGCAGCUACUUCCACCAGUACAUACUUUUAGCAUUUCACAACUCCCUCUGUCCACGGUUACUCACAUGCCUGUAUGUCCCAUGUCACAACCCACCAAGCCCCCCAGCACUGCAUUCCUCACUUGUGUGGUGAUGUGUGACAACUGACACAGCUUAGUGCCACUCACAGCUUUUGUAUAAGAAAGCCUUAAAGGCAGCAGGGGAAACAAGGAGGAUACUGUCGCUCGCACCCUCUCUGUAGCAGUGUCAAUGCUCCGAGGAAAAAAAAGAUGAAAAGCAACUGAGAAGGUAACGUAGAGGCAAAGUAUGUCACUAGCUGUCUUAUGGCCUUUUGUCCAAUCAUAUGGGACAAGGGGUUUCACAUCUAGCACCUGUCACAAAACUUUGCUUUCUGGGGCGGAAAGCUAUUGAGUGUAGCAGUCAUAUCUGAGAGACAGAAGAGCACCUGUGCUUUCCCCUGGCAGCCAGCUCCUUCGCACGCAAACAUGCUCACAGAUGCACGCACUCCUUAACACCUUGUAUGCACACCUGUGUGCACAGUCACACCCACACGGGAGUAUACAUGGGAACAUUAAUGCCAAACAGUUAAUUGAAUUACUGAUCAAUCUGCUAUUUAUACUUUUAAUUAAACAAUUAUUUGCAUAGUCGAUAAACUGUGAACAAGGUACCGCAGCAUCAUUUGAUGUCUGUGGUGAAGAAUAAUUAUAAUAAUAUAAAAUAAUACUACACAAACAAUUUGGUUUGUGAACUUUCCUUGUUUUUUAAUGAACCAUGUACAGUAUCAUAUAAAUUAUCAGCUGUUAAAACAGACAAGAUGACAGCUAAUAAUUAAAAAGCAUCCAUCCAGACAUCCAUCACAAAAAAGAGGAAUAACACAGUAGAUCAUAUAUAAGAAAUCACACCACUAGUUAGAUGAUAGAAACAUGUAAAAACCAGCUAAAGCAUGUAAGAUAAUAAUAAAAUGCAGAAUUAGUGAGCACACAGUUUGAUUGCUUUAAGACAAAUGUAUAAUUUGGUUUAAAAUAUAAAAAGAGCUGCAGCUCUUAUGUGAUCUGAUAGAGAAUCUGUCUGAGUGGUAGAUUUAACAGAAGAAGCUCGCUGCUCAAAUGCAGUGUGACAAAAGGGUACAGCACAAUCUGUGAUGGAAGAUAUUUUAGAGCCUUUAAUGGUGUUCUCAGCAGGACGCGGAGGCAGAGUCACGCAACAGAGGACGGGCCAGAUUGUUUAAAAUUUUAUACAAAUGAUACAUAUUUGAAUAAAAUCUGAAAAUUCUCCAGUUUCUCUGGAGUCCCAUAGAGAUGAUAUGGAGUUGACAUUUUUAUCCAGGGCUUUUCAGGCUUGAAAAAAAGGGGAAAGGAAAACUAGAUUUUCUAUGGGAAGUUCCUGUAAAGCCUCUAUCAUACAUCACUUAUGAAAGAUGUAGUUUGGGAAUGAAGCCAUUAUUAUUACAACAGUAUGAAAUAUGUAGCACGGAAGUUCUGAUUUGUUGUUGGUUGUAUAACAAAUGCAUAAUUGUUGUGUUGGUGUUCUUACAUUCAAAAUGUAGUAUUCUUUCUGCAAAUGUUGAAUACAUUUCAUCCAUAUUUUGCCAAAAAUGUAACACAUUUUGCUGUGUUUUCCUUCGACUUGCUACACUUUCAGUUUCAAACCUGUAUUUGGUUGCAUUCGUUUUAAGAUAUCACAGGUUACGCAAUCACACAUUCACUGGAGACGCCACUUCACAUUAAAGCUUAAGUAUAAAGUUAGUUCAUUUGCAACUCAAGAAACUCGGGCUUUGGCUGCCAGACUGAGAACAGAUGGGAAAUAAGUAAGUACAUUUACACAAAUACUGCAAUUAAGUAAGAUUGUGAGGUAAUUGCAUUUUCCUUGAGUACUUCCAUUUUAUGAGACUUUAUACUACUUCUA